UACGAAGGGGGCUAGCGUUGCUCGGAAUUACUGGGCGUAAAGGGCGCGUAGGCGGACAGUUUAGUCAGAGGUGAAAGCCCAGGGCUCAACCUUGGAAAUGCCUUUGAUACUGGCUGUCUUGAGUUCGGGAGAGGUGAGUGGAAUGCCGAGUGUAGAGGUGAAAUUCGUAGAUAUUCGGCGGAACACCAGUGGCGAAGGCGACUCACUGGCCCGAUACUGACGCUGAGGAGCGAAAGCGUGGGGAGCGAACAGG
rnacentral:rRNA from 1 species